AAGACUAUACUUCCAGGGAUCAUUUCUAUAGCUUGAUACUAGAGAAGUUUCUCUGAACAUGUAGAGCACCUGAAACCAUGAGGAGGAGGCACAGUGUUCUCUCCUGAGCAUGAAGCUAGCUUUUGGUGUUGUUUUUGCAACCACCAGUAGCCAUUGAUGAUCGUUCUUCUUUUUCUCUGGGAGAGUAAGAGGGAAAGAAUGCAGUCUGAGUGGA